rnacentral:misc_RNA from 1 species
CUGGAGCUCGCGCUAGUAUUCCUGGGAAGGAGUACUGGCCAGAAGGCACAGCUAGUCGAGUUCAGGCCGCCAGGGCUCCUGAACCAGAUGGUAUUUCAACUGGAACUCCAUCUUAUGGAAAAGCUCCUGGAAGUAGAAGAAAGAAGUACAAGGCAUCUGCUUCCUCUUCCCAGCCUUCAGAAAUCAAUGUAAUUUCUGAUGAUCCUCUGGAGACUCCAGAUAGUGUACCAGAAGAGCCAAAGGAUCUUUCCUCAGAGUAUGUCAUUUAUCAGCCUGAACAAGAUGAAGAAGAGCUGACAGGCUAUGAGCUAGAUAAAAGACAUGGACGGCCCCACCCAUUUAUUGAUCCAAAG